ACGGAAGGCAGCAGUGGGGAAUAUUGGGCAAUGGGCGAAAGCCUGACCCAGCAACGCCGCGUGAAGGAAGAAGGUUUUCGGAUUGUAAACUUCUUUUAUCAGGGACGAAGAAAGUGACGGUACCUGAUGAAUAAGCCACGGCUAACUACGUGCCAGCAGCCGCGGUAAUACGUAGGUGGCAAGCGUUAUCCGGAUUUACUGGGUGUAAAGGGCGCGUAGGCGGGGAUGCAAGUCAGAUGUGAAAUCUAUGGGCUUAACCCAUAAACUGCAUUUGAAACUGUAUCUCUUGAGUGUCGGAGAGGUAGACGGAAUUCCUAGUGUAGCGGUGAAAUGCGUAGAUAUUAGGAGGAACACCAGUGGCGAAGGCGGUCUACUGGACGAUAACUGACGCUGAGGCGCGAAAGCGUGGGGAGCGAACAGGAUUAGAUACCCUGGUA
rnacentral:rRNA from 1 species